rnacentral:lncRNA from 1 species
CUCAGCGUUCUCCAAAGGAAUGAGCAAGCAGAUGAGGCAAAGCACACUCUGAAGAGUGACAACUAUAGCUUCCAUAAGAAAGUUUUGGAGGCUCCUAAAAAUGACAGAUAAAUGAACUAACCUAAUCAGCAAAAUUAAACUAUAGGAAAGAGUAUGGACCUUGAAAAGACAGAUGAUCCAAAUAGAAAAUACAUCAGCACGUGGGAAAGAGCAACGUUGAUCGUCUUCACGGAAAG